rnacentral:rRNA from 1 species
GAUGAACGCUGGCGGCGUGCCUAAUACAUGCAAGUCGAGCGAACAGACGAGGAGCUUGCUCCUCUGACGUUAGCGGCGGACGGGUGAGUAACACGUGGAUAACCUACCUAUAAGACUGGGAUAACUUCGGGAAACCGGAGCUAAUACCGGAUAAUAUAUUGAACCGCAUGGUUCAAUAGUGAAAGACGGUUUUGCUGUCACUUAUAGAUGGAUCCGCGCCGCAUUAGCUAGUUGGUAAGGUAACGGCUUACCAAGGCGACGAUGCGUAGCCGACCUGAGAGGGGGAUCGGCCACCCUGGAACUGAGACACGGUCCAGACUCCCACGGGAGGCAGCAGUAGGGAAUCUUCCGCAAUGGGCGAAAGCCUGACGGAGCAACGCCGCGUGGGUGAUGAAGGUCUUCGGAUCGUAAAACUCUGUUAUUAGGGAAGAACAAAUGUGUAAGUAACUAUGCACGUCUUGACGGUACCUAAUCAAAAAGCCCCGGCUAACUACGU